GGCGGCGGCCGUGGGAGCGGGCGCUGCGAUAGACCUUGUCCGUGGAAGCGAUGGGGCUGGUCCUCGUCUGUGGCGUGCGUGCUGACGGGAGCACCCUGUGUGUUGCUGGCACAUCUCACAGCUGCAGCAUCAACCAGAUUAACCUGCGCUCAGUAAUAAAAUGUAUUAAGCUGCAUUGAUUUUAUUUGGUGAAAUUUGACAGUAAUAUCAGUGGCAACGAUGACUGAGGAUACAAGAGAAGUUGGAAUCUGAUACUGUGGCUUGCUAUAGUGAAGGCCUGAACUCAUGUAUUACACUUAAGAGUGAUAUUCUGCUGUUGUAUUUCAUGGUCAAAAUUACCUCCUAUAAAGCUAUUGCCUAUAAAGUGGACAUAUGACAAUUACUUUGUUUUUUUAAAGUAUUUAUUUCAAGCUACUUUGCUGUUAAUUUUGUGUUGCUCUUAUUGUUAAAAGUGCAAGAAGAAAGGAGAAAUCCUUCAGCCUUUGGCAGCAUAACCUUGCACUGGUUAAGAGAAUGUAGAUGCACCUCUACUUGCACAACAUACUACAAAUGCAAUGAAGUAGCAUCUGUAUUUACAAAUGCAUAGCAAAACUUUGCAUACUUCAAAAGUAUGCAAGAAUCAUGACCAAACCUCCUAAAGAUGAGGCUGGAAGUAUUAUGAAGCAUUCUUCCAAAUGUCUUCUGUUAAUAAUAUUUGGUUGCACAAUUCAGGUCUCUGUGUUCAUUGGAUUCGGGUACAGUCUGAACAUUUUUACAUCAAAACCGUCUCCUGAAAUGCACAUCUUUGUGAUGACGCUAAAAACCAGUCUAACCAUUCUUCAGUGGAGAUGAUAGAUUAAAUUACAUUCAUGAAGGUUGUCAAUGAUUGUAGUUCCUAAUCUUUAGUGCCUGAUUGCUGUAACAAAAUCUGUAGUCUAAAAUGAAAUACAGAGGAUCUGUAUACCAUACGAGGGAGUACCUCAGAUCUAUGACAGGUGAUGUGUUAAAUGGGAAGUGAUGUUAGGUCAUCACUGUGAAAUGCUGAGGACCAGGUUAGUCUUAAAAUUCUAGGGAUUUGUUACCUUCACCCAGAUUGAAGGUGGUAAAUUUUCCUGAACAAUGCGUUUGAAUGAGGUAUCAGAGAUCUUUCAGGAAAUGGGUAGGGUGAAUACUUUAUUUCAGAGGACAUCUGGAAGUGGUUGUGCUGUUGAACUGCUUUAUUGCUCUGUGCUCAGAGUUGUCAUUCUACAUGUGGAAACUUGGGC